AGAGUUUGAUCAUGGCUCAGGAUGAACGCUGGCGGCGUGCUUAACACAUGCAAGUCGAACGCUGAAGCUCCCAGCUUGCUGGGGGUGGAUGAGUGGCGAACGGGUGAGUAUCACGUGAGUAACCUGCCCUGAACUCUGGGAUAAGCCUGGGAAACUGGGUCUAAUACUGGAUAGGACUGGCCAUCGCAUGGUGGUUGGUUGAAAGCUUUUGCGGUUUUGGAUGGACUCGCGGCCUAUCAGCUUGUUGGUGGGGUAAUGGCCUACCAAGGCUUUGACGGGUAGCCGGCCUGAGAGGGUGACCGGCCACACUGGGACUGAGACACGGCCCAGACUCCUACGGGAGGCAGCAGUGGGGGAUAUUGCACAAUGGGCGCAAGCCUGAUGCAGCGACGCCGCGUGAGGGAUGACGGCCUUCGGGUUGUAAACCUCUUUCAGUUGGGAAGAAGCCUUUCGGGGUGACGGUACCUUCAGAAGAAGCACCGGCUAACUACGUGCCAGCAGCCGCGGUAAUACGUAGGGUGCGAGCGUUAUCCGGAAUUAUUGGGCGUAAAGAGCUCGUAGGCGGUUUGUCACGUCUGCUGUGAAAGCUCGGGGCUUAACUCCGAGUGUGCAGUGGGUACGGGCAGGCUGGAGUGCAGUAGGGGAGACUGGAAUUCCUGGUGUAGCGGUGAAAUGCGCAGAUAUCAGGAGGAACACCGAUGGCGAAGGCAGGUCUCUGAGCUGUUACUGACGCUGAGGAGCGAAAGCAUGGGGAGCGAACAGGAUUAGAUACCCUGGUAGUC
rnacentral:rRNA from 1 species